UACAUGUGGGGCAAGCGUUGUUCGGAAUUACUGGGCAUAAAGGGUGCGUAGGCGGCUUGUUAAGUCACUGGUGAAAGUUUUCGGCCCAACCGGAAAAUGGCCUGUGAUACUGGCGAGCUCGAGUGCGUGAGGGGUGGGGGGAACGAGCAGUGUAGCGGUGAAAUGCGUAGAUAUUGCUCGGAAGGCCGGAGCCGAAGGGGCCCCACUGGUACGCAACUGACGCUGAGGCACGAAAGCGUGGGGAGCAAACAGGAUUAGAAACCCUUGUAGUCC
rnacentral:rRNA from 1 species